UGGGGAAUUUUGGACAAUGGGCGAAAGCCUGAUCCAGCAAUGCCGCGUGUGUGAAGAAGGCCUUCGGGUUGUAAAGCACUUUUGUCCGGAAAGAAAUCCUUGGCUCUAAUACAGUCGGGGGAUGACGGUACCGGAAGAAUAAGCACCGGCUAACUACGUGCCAGCAGCCGCGGUAAUACGUAGGGUGCAAGCGUUAAUCGGAAUUACUGGGCGUAAAGCGUGCGCAGGCGGUUUGCUAAGACCGAUGUGAAAUCCCCGGGCUCAACCUGGGAACUGCAUUGGUGACUGGCAGGCUAGAGUAUGGCAGAGGGGGGUAGAAUUCCACGUGUAGCAGUGAAAUGCGUAGAGAUGUGGAGGAAUACCGAUGGCGAAGGCAGCCCCCUGGGCCAAUACUGACGCUCAUGCACGAAAGCGUGGGGAGCAAACAGGAUUAGAUACCCUGGUAGUCCACGCCCUAAAACGAUGUCAACUAGUUGUUGGGGAUUCAUUUCCUUAGUAACGUAGCUAACGCGUGAAGUUGACCGCCUGGGGAGUACGGUCGCAAGAUUAAAACUCAAAGGAAUUGACGGGGUCAUAG
rnacentral:rRNA from 1 species